CCAACCUCGCGCCCAGCCGCCUCCUGCUCGCGCUCCACGCCGCCUUCCUCGCGCUCCCUCCCCGACCGCGUCCGCCUCCGCGCCG
rnacentral:sRNA from 1 species